UCCAAACUCCUACGGGAGGCAGCAGUGAGGAAUAUUGGUCAAUGGGCGAGAGCCUGAACCAGCCAAGUAGCGUGCAGGAUGACGGCCCUAUGGGUUGUAAACUGCUUUUAUAAGGGAAUAAAGUGAGUCUCGUGAGACUUUUUGCAUGUACCUUAUGAAUAAGGACCGGCUAAUUCCGUGCCAGCAGCCGCGGUAAUACGGAAGGUCCGGGCGUUAUCCGGAUUUAUUGGGUUUAAAGGGAGCGUAGGCCGGAGAUUAAGCGUGUUGUGAAAUGUAGAUGCUCAACAUCUGCACUGCAGCGCGAACUGGUUUCCUUGAGUACGCACAAAGUGGGCGGAAUUCGUGGUGUAGCGGUGAAAUGCUUAGAUAUCACGAAGAACUCCGAUUGCGAAGGCAGCUCACUGGAGCGCAACUGACGCUGAAGCUCGAAAGUGCGGGUAUCGAACAGGAUUAGAUACCCUGGUAGUCCGCACGGUAAACGAUGGAUGCCCGCUGUUGGUCUGAAUAGGUCAGCGGCCAAGCGAAAGCAUUAAGCAUCCCACCUGGGGAGUACGCCGGCAACGGUGCAACUCAAAUGAAUUGACGGA
rnacentral:rRNA from 1 species